UGUACAUCUUUCCAUUCAGCCUUGUGCCUGUCUUGCUCUCUCCCCAGAAUAUACUCUGAACUCUACAAGGCCCUGUUUCCCGUGCUCUCUCCACAGGGUCAACAAGCCCUUUCUGGGCCAUGGGGAUGCAGUGAUGCAGCACCGGAGGCCAGCACCUGCACUUGGCUCUGGGACCACACCCACUGGAGGAGGUACCUUGUCCUCUCCUUGCCUGGAAUGGGGUGGGAAGGUUUUGCUUCUGGAAAAUAAGAUUCAGGACCCUGCCCAGUUUCCACUCAUCCUUUAUAGGGGGAUGUUCGUGAUCACCACCCUGUGCAUAAGCCUCAGGCCUUGGCUACCUCAAGUUUGGGGUCACCACCCAGGCAAGCAUCACCCUCAACCUCCCCAACUGUUGGUGAGUGAGAUCAGGCCUCAAGUCAGAAGGAUGCCAUGCAGGUGGGGCUGGCUUGGCUUCCGCUUAUCAGAGGAGAGUAGCAAGGUAUGAAUGAGGAUCGUCUCCAGCAUGGAGAAGAGAUGCCAGGAAACUGAACUGUGGAAAGAGGUAGACCGGAUAAAUCAGGAGACCUGGAUUCUUGUCCAACAUGGCCAAUUAAUUCUCCUGUGUUCUGGGCAAGAUAUUUCUCCUCUCUAUACUUCAGUUUCCCAAAGAAAGGGAUUAGACCAAAUGGUUUCUGAGUGCCUUCCCAACUUUGACUGAUGUGUUAGUCAGUUCUCUCAUUUGCAAGUGACUGAAAACCAAUCCAAACUGGCCCAAGUUUUAAAACAAAAAGCAGACAGAAGUCCUUGCACAUAUCUGACUUCAGGCAUGGCUGGAUCCAGCUACUUAAAUGGUAUCAUCAGGACUCAGUCUGUCUCUAUCUCCUAGGUUUAUUUUUCUCUGGGUGGGCUUUAUUCAAGUAGACUUCACACGCACACAGUGGCAGAUAACUGCUGGCAGCCUCUCAGUUACCGGCCCUUCUCUCAUCAACCUUGAUGUAAAGAGAGUUUCUCUUUUCCAAAAGGCCCAUUGAAAGCCUUGGGAUUAAUUCUAAUCCCCACAGCUUGGGUCACAUGUCCAUUCUGAACCAGUCCUAUGGCCAGCAGAUGAAGUAUGCUGAUUGGCUGGGCCUAAAUCACAUGCCUUAGUGGGAUGGGGUCAGGAGUUCCCUGAACCUAGCGAGCUGAGAGUGAGGACAGGGUGACUUCAGGUUAACUGAAGAGGUAAUGGUUGCUGGGUCAAUUAAUCCAACCAAGGUCCCUUAGAACAUAUCAUAAUUACGGUGAAAUCUGGGGACCACAGAUCAUCUCAUAGACACUCUUACAACUUCUCAGGAAGCCAGGCAAGAUGUGGGGAUCAUUGCAAAGGGCAGUAAGGGGGAUGUCACUAGAGGGUGGCCAGCAGCCUCUUCUCCUUUUGCUCACCAUCUUGACUUUCUAAAAGCGCUCAGGUUCUCAGGCACAUGGACCUUUUCUCGUAUUCUGUUCCCUGCUCUGAGCCCUCACAU
rnacentral:lncRNA from 1 species